GGCAACCAUGUGCAUCAGUUCCGCUUCAUCAGAUGGAGCCAUGACUACCAUGUUGGGCAAACAAGCCAUGUAUGUGAUAUCAAAUGCUCCACAGUGUGUGGGCCCAUCUGCACCUACCAAACCAGCUCGGUCCAUUGCAAAGCGGACAGGAAAGAUGAAUAGAUAGCACAGAAUGGCUUGAGACCCUCUGUUGCUAAACCAGCUGCAAAUGUAACCGCGUGUUGUUCUGCAAUUCCCACAUCAAAACAGCGAUCUGGAAACUUCUUCUGGAAAUAAUUGAGGCCAGUCCCACCACCCAUUGCCGCGUGGAUGGCUACAAUCUUAUUAUCUGCCUCCGCUUCUUUGAUCAGGGAUUCGGCAAAGUACUGUGUAUAUGUAAGCGUAGGGGACUUGGACUUAAAUUGCUGUCCCGUUCUCGGGUCAAACUUGACCACCCCUGAAAGAGCAUGCCAAUAAGGAUCUUAUGAGGAAUGUAAGACACAUUUACAUUAGGAAGUAAUUCCCUCACCGUGCAUUUUGUCAGCUGCCGCCUCAGCUGGUGGAUAGCCCUUCCCUUUCUCUGUUACAAUGUGUAUAAGAACUGGACCUGGUGCGGGCAUUGCUUUUACUUUCUCAAAAAUGGUGACCAAAUUAUCUAAGUUGUGCCCAUCCACUGGACCAAUGUAAUACAACCCUAGCUCCUCAAAGAGAGUUGCGCCAGAAGCACUGAGCAUACCCCUUGCGUAUUCAUCAACUUUUGCAGCUACUUCAUGUGCCUGAGGUCCGAUUUGUUUGGUGAUGUUCUUUGAAGAGAAAAACCCCAUAUCAGAUAUCGUUGGUACAUCAAGUAAGGAUAGAGGAAGCAUAACAGGAAGGUAGUGACAUUAAAGACUUAGAGGCCAUACUUUUGCAGCUUCACGAAGCGACCGGAAGUUGGUACUUGCUUGGAGCUUUGUUAGAGCACCACUGAGGGCUCCAACAGGGGUUGCAGGGCCAUCAACAGUAGCAGUUGGUAACGAGACUUGCUUAUUAUCAUUUAGCACCACAAUCAGGUUAGCAUCAAGAUACCCUGCAUUGUUCAUGGCUUCAUAUGCUUGUCCUGCAGUCAUGGCUCCAUCUCCAAUAACAGAAACAACAUUGUUGCUCUUCCCUAAAAGGUCUCUUGCAACUGCCAUGCCUACAAAAAGUUUUUUGAUCCCAAAAGUUCUGAGUACUUCAAGUUUCCUGUCCAUCGGCAUUUAUAAGGGGAAGGACAUUCUCAUUUGUUGGUUGGAAAGGGGAGGGUGAAAGAUGAUGUAGUGAGAAAGAACUCAAACACAUACCAAGUCCAGCUGAGAUGCUUGUAGAACUAUGCCCUGCACCGAAGGCAUCGUAGCUGCUCUCAUCCCUUUUUGGGAACCCUGCUAGCCCCGAAGUUUUCCUGAUGAUCCAAGAAGCAGGCCAAGCAGUUAAAGUAAGACAAAUCAAGACGUGGAAAACAUCGCCGUGAAUUAACGCUUCUUCACCUGGACAGAUAGAUUCUUCAUGUGAACUGGGUAGUUGACAGUGUCCAGCAAUGGCGUCGGCGGCUUCUCG